UACGAAGGGUACAAGCGUUGUUCGGAAUUACUGGGCGUAAAGCGCGCGUAGGCGGACGAGUCAGUCGAUUGUGAAAUCCCUGGGCUUAACCUGGGAACUGCAGUCGAUACUGCUUGUCUUGAGUGCCUGAGAGGAUGGCGGAAUUCCCGGUGUAGUAGUGAAAUACGUAGAUAUCGGGAAGAACACCGGUGGCGAAGGCGGCUCUCUGGACCGUAACUGACGCUGAGGCGCGAAAGCGUGGGGAGCAAACAGGGAU
rnacentral:rRNA from 1 species